AAUACAUAAUGCAUUAAUGUAUUUUCCUUUUCUUGCAUUGCGAGUGAGUGAUGUGAUGAAUGAAAUAAUUAACUUUUCAAUUAACCGCACUUUUACACUCGAAUGAUAACAUGACGACUUGUUUGUAAAUUAAAACACGAUUAAUUAAAAAAAUACCUAAUGUGUUAUUUUAUUUUGGCCUGAAAUAACUAUAUUAUAUUCAUUUCAUUCAUCCACCAAGUAAGAAAUUUCCCAACUUGUUUUACUGAUUAGAAAAUUAAUGCUGCUGCAAGUACAACGAGAAGCUGAAGUAGUUUGCAAAGGGGAAAAAAUCAGAAAAUUUCAACCCAAAAUGUAUGCAACUCCUCCACCAAACCAACAAGUACUCCAUCCAACGAUGCCCAUUAAGUUUUCAUACUAAUCUUUACAAAUCAAUGCAUUUAUUUUAUUUUAUUUUACUUCCACCUCUGAAAACAGUUGUUUUUACUGGCUCUGGUUGUUGUACAAUUUGCAACAAUAUUACUCACCCAUCCGUGCCAAAUCUAUCUUCGUCGUCGUACUUAAGAGUGGAGGCAGGCAGGCAGAGGCAGUAGGUAUCUCAGCAAUAAUGAUUUAACAUACUUCCUCAUCUUCCUUUUCAAUCUUCUCUUUUUGUGUGAGCACCGUUUUACCAAUAAUACCGGUAAACGAUAUCUCGCCUUUAUUCUUGGGAGGAACGAACUUAUUUUUGAAAACAAACGCGCAAAACAUUACAAGAAAUCAGACCUAAUAAACAAGCAACCGCCGACGCCACCGCCGUUGCGUUGCGCCUGUGGUGGAAGGAUGCUUUGUCAGGUUCCGUUCAAAGUGCAUUUGUCGACGAGGACAAAAAAAACAUGCAAAAAUUCAGUUCAUCCCAUUUCUCAUGUCCAUCACUUCACUUACAGAAUUUCCUCGGCAAGAAUGUGUUUGAGAAGAUGAGGAAGAAGAAAAAUGCAUGCAUGCAAAUGCCACGAGUGAGUUUGAAAAAAAAAUCAUGAUUUCGAUUCAAGUUCAGUUUCAAUAACUUUUUGUUUUGUUGAUGAUGAUGCGAAAGAACCAAUUUCGUGUAUCUGCAGGCUCUUCUUCUUCUUCUUCUGUGUACCGUAUCUGCACUUGAUGAUCAAUUUGGAGUGGUCGCAAAAAAUAAAUUUACAAUGAUUGGUCUCCUAUCCUAAUUAAUUUUUUGAGACGGUUAAUUAACUCUCACUUGACUUAACGUAGGUAUAUGAACAUAGUUAUUUCGUGAAUGGAAAUAAAUGAGAGUGAGGA